AUUGAACGCUGGCGGCAGGCCUAACACAUGCAAGUCGAGCGGAUGAGGGGAGCUUGCUCCUGGAUUCAGCGGCGGACGGGUGAGUAAUGCCUAGGAAUCUGCCUGGUAGUGGGGGAUAACGUCCGGAAACGGGCGCUAAUACCGCAUACGUCCUGAGGGAGAAAGUGGGGGAUCUUCGGACCUCACGCUAUCAGAUGAGCCUAGGUCGGAUUAGCUAGUUGGUGGGGUAAAGGCCUACCAAGGCGACGAUCCGUAACUGGUCUGAGAGGAUGAUCAGUCACACUGGAACUGAGACACGGUCCAGACUCCUACGGGAGGCAGCAGUGGGGAAUAUUGGACAAUGGGCGAAAGCCUGAUCCAGCCAUGCCGCGUGGGUGAAGAAGGUCUUCGGAUUGUAAAGCACUUUAAGUUGGGAGGAAGGGCAGUAAGUUAAUACCUUGCUGUUUUGACGUUACCAGCAGAAUAAGCACCGGCUAACUUCGU
rnacentral:rRNA from 1 species